CAAAGAAAAAGUUCUAAGAGACUAAACCAAGUAAAAAGAAAAAAAGAAUGUGAAUGUCAGCGGUCGACUGUAGGGGCGCGCUGUUGUAGGAAGGUUUGUAUAACGGAAAUAGGAAUACGUUGUACAGCCCGUAUUUCCGGUUGCGGAUCCUGAGGAUUAGAUACGAGUGUUAUCCGUUUGGGCUUCUAGCGGGCGUUCAAAUAAAGAAACUGGGAACGGUGGCUACAUGUGAUUGAUUGGAAAGCAAUGGAGGAGAAGACUUGUGGACACAGCAUCUUGGACUCCGCCAGGUGGAGUGAAGGAGCACCGUUAUUUGAAGCAGAUCACUUGUUUGUUGGACUUGUGAGUAUUUUACUGAAAUGUGUAAUUGCUUGAGGAAAGUGUUACUUAGCUCGUCCCAUUCAUUGUGCCUUAAUGCUGUUGUCAGAUACUUAAUGAAGUAACUUUUUUUGCCUUUUCACUUUCAUUGUGCCUUAAUGCUGUUGUCAGAUGCUUAACAGUCACUUUCUAGCAACACCUGUAAACCUUCCUGAACAAACCUCUUCUACAGGUAAAAAAUCAUUGUGCUUUAAUGCUGUUGGAAAAUAGUCACUUUCAUUGUGAAGUGUAUUUGAUUGUUGUAAACCUUUCAGAAUAAAGAAAAUUGUUGGAAUAUUGUGUGUGAUCUGCAUUCUAUUCCAGAAAUUGGGCAAAAAAUGCAAAAUAUGAAUGGGAGUUCUCAUUGCCCUUUAGGGCGUGCAUUGUCAAGGGUAUGGUAUCGGUAAAGAAAAAAAAUUUUUUUUGAGUAUUUGUAUAAGCACAGUAUAAAUUUGUGCUAAAAACUGAAAAAAAAAUGUACCUGAAUAUUUCAAACUGUUGUCUUCUUGUUACGUCCUGUCUUUUCAGAGAGCGAUGUCGGACAACACUUGUAACUGCUGUCCUUGUUUCCACUUGGCGCUGCGACAACCGGCAUGUGCUCGUCUGUAUGGCUGAUUCCUUAAAUCUGAGAAAGACAUAGAGAAACACAGAAUAUAUAUAUAUACAUGUAUAUUUAUAUAAUCUUGCAAUUCUGUUAUUGUCCACUACAGCUGGUAAAAAAACAAAUGUAGUGAGUUAAUGAGCAACAUUAUCACGCUUUAAUGAGGCCCUUGUCUGUUUAAAUGUUAGUACUUUUUUUCAAAUUUCUUAUGAUAACCAUUGACUAGUUUCACCCAGCAGUAAAAGUUCCUUGCAUGCUGCAUAUCAGAACAGCCCAGGGGUCAAGCACUCUGACAGUGGUACCAGGCUUCAAAUUGAAAUGCAUUAGAAAAAACACCUGGUACCAGGU